GAGGGAGAAAGAGGAAAAAAAUAGCUGUGCUUCUGCUUCUUUCGUUCUAAGAUAAAUUCUCCUGGAGACAACCUCUCCCACUAAUUGUGUGUUAGCCAUGAAUUUUAUCUCAAGAGCUGACGCACUGGGCUCUCAACUGGUGUUGAAAAGCAGCCUGUUACAGUGUGGGAUUCAUAAAAGGGCCUCUAUGGUGUGUGAGAAAGAAUAUCUGUGUGCCUAGGCAGGAAACUUUUUGAUCUGCAGAAAAGCCAGAAGACAUCUAGCACACCAGAAUAGGAGUCCUGUCUUAACUGAGCAAUAUACACUAUGGAGAGAUCCUUCAAAACCCGUCGGGAUGAAUAACAGAUGAAUUCAUAAACUGUUCAUCUCUGUUAUCCUGAAUGGUCACUCAGACAACAUUUUACUCAACUAUAAAGGGAGAAGCAUAUUGUGUGAUGUUCUAUAUUUAUAAGACCCAUAGCAAACUGUGAAGAGAUAACAGAAUGCUUUUUGCAUGAGCUGAAACAGUAGAUGAAAUCUUUCAUUAAAAUUACUCAUACUUUGGGUCCUAUUCUUACUUAUAAAUAAAUAUUAUUGCAAACAUUU
rnacentral:lncRNA from 1 species